GCCGCAUUGGCGUAGUGGUAUGCGCGCCCCACUUGUACUUCAGAACAUGGGGAGGUCACUCGUUCGACCCGGGUAUGUGGCA